GCCAGAAGUCCGCCCCAGGCCCCGGUGUUCCCAGCGCACAGGUCACUGCCAAGGCUGGAGCUGCCGCUGGUCAUACUCUGCUAUCAGUUUUUUGAUAUGGGGAAAUUGAAGUCCAGAAAAAAGGUGAUCAAAUAGCUUAGAAAUGGCAACUAUUGGAAUCAAACCCCUACCACAAGACCUCCAUAAAGCUCCCUGAUUUAUUCCUCUCCAAAACGUAAAUGGCCAUUCAUUACCCACAGAAAACAUGAACUACAAAUCCAGAACUGAAAUAUAAAGUCUUUGCUGGAGCUCACAGCUGCUUUUAAAAAAUAUCAGUAAGUGAAUUCUAACUAUCUCUUUCUUAGAGGAUGUCACCUUGUUAUUGCUUCCACCCCACAGAAGAUAGAUGAUUCUAUUCUGUCGUUUGGAGAACUAGUUAGGGGCAAGGUGAGCCCACAAUGGACGGAAGGCAUGUUAGAAGUAAAAGUAAUAUGAGAAAAGUCUAUUUGAUUUUAACAUAAGUACUAAGGUGUGAGGACAUGACAGGUACUCAAAAAACACUUCUAUCAGUGCUGAAAGGGAUCUUGCAGGUCAUGAUAAUUUAUAUUUAUAUAGUACUUAUCAUUUGGUCCCAACAACAACUUGCCCAGGGACACAAAGCUUUUGUGUCACUCAAGGACUCAGCUCUUCCUUCCUCUAGGUCUUGCUCUCUUUACACUAUAUUGCAUUCUCUUCCCCACCACCUGAAAUAGGUAUUUGUUCUGUAACACUUCCUACAAAUAGAGAGCCAGCCUUUUCUCAAACACUUCCAAUGAGAGGAAACUUACUAUGCCUAUGAAGCAGGCAACCAGCUCCAUUUUUAGAAAUUUUUGAUUACUAGGAAACUUUUUUCCAUAUUCAAUUGAAAUCUAUUUCUCUGUGAUUUCCUCCCCUUAAUUCUGGCAUUAUCUUCUUAGACCACACAAACAACUUUAUUUUAAACUCCCUGUGCCAACUCCUCCAGGAGUUGAUAAGAACAACCAAUCCUUGAGUGGCAACUCAUACCAUGAGAGUGGGUCUCUUCUACAGCUUAUCCCUUCUGGACUAACUCUGGUUUGUCAAAGUACUUUCUAAAAUAUGGUCCUAGAAAUGACUGCUACAUUCCAACUAUAGUUUAAGCAGAGUAGAAGGCAACAGGAUAAUCUCAUAACUUGCUACAGAUAUGGCUCUAUUAAUGCAACCUAAGAAUGUCUGAAGGAUUUUAGGACGUCAUGUCCAAGUUACCUUGCAUUUCACCAAUCAACCAAUAUACAUUUAUUAAGUUCCUCUUGUGUGCUGGGCAUACAAAGAGUAGCAAAAGACAAUCCUUGCUCUCAAAGAGACAUACACUAACAAAGGACAAAGAUGUAUAAACAUGCACUAUUCAGACUAAAUAGGAAAUAAUUAGAAGAAGAAAGGCACUAGAAUUAAGAGAGAUUGGGGAAUGGAUAGAAGUAUAUUGUUUGUGGAACAGCAAAACUAUUGAAUCGAAAAGUACAUGGGAGUGAAUAAGGAAUAAAAAGACAGGAAAGGUAUAAGGAGAGUUGGUCAAACAAAGGAUUUGAUGUUUGAUCCUGGAGGCAAUAAGGAACCAAUGGAGUUUAUUGAAAUGGGGGUAGCAGAAGAGGAAAGUGUCAUGAUCAGACCUGCCUUUCAGGAAAUUCACUUUGGGCUGAAUGGACAGGAAUGGAGAGACUUAAGGCAGGGCAGACCUCCCGGCAGCUACUGUAAUAAUCUGGGCUUGAGAUGAGGAAGCUUCAGAGGGGUGGCAGUGUAAGAGAAGAGAAGGGGGACUAUUGGAAAGAUGGCAUAACAGUGAAAUUGACAGGCUUUGGCAAUAGAUUGGAAAUGGGGGAAGGAGAGAGAUCCCAACAGCUGAAACAGUUGGAAAGGUGGGAGUGAACAGCAGAGUAACGUUAAGGUAAGAAAUCAUCAGCAUAAAAAUGACAAAUAAAUCUAUGAGAAAUGAUAAGAUCAGCCAAAUUAAGUAGUACAGAGGGAGAAGAGCAGAAAGCCCAGGCCCAAGGCCUGAUGGGCCCCACUGGUGAGAGGACACGAUCUGGAAUAGGAGAUAAAGGUGCGAUGCCAACCCCGCCACCACACUCAGCCAUGGGCCUCACGAUGGUCUCACCUGUUCCUCACAACCAACCACCCUGAAUGAGAGGUGCUGCUAAUCUUCUCAUUUACAGAUAAGGGAACUGAGGCACACAGAGGUUAAGCUAUUGAGUGUCUGAGGUUUUCCUGACUGGCAGCUAGGGAUCAAGUGGAAAAAGCCUUGAACUUGGAGUCAGGAAGACUCCUUCUGAGUUCAAAUCUGGCCUUAGACACUCACUGGCCAUGGGUCCCUGGACAAGUCACCUGCCCUGUUUGUCUCAGUUUCCUCAAAUGUAAAAUGAGCUGGAGGAGAUGGCAAACUGCAGCCAGAAACAAUUAAGCAAUUCAACCCUUUCCAGACCCCAUAGCUCUCUUGGCUGUUUCUAGCAGAGAUCGAGAAGGAACAGUUGGAGAACUGGGAGAACCUGGAGAGAAGGGAGUGUGGAAGAGGGAGGAAGGGAGUGUGGAACAGGGAGGGAGGGAGGGAGAGAGGGAGAAAGAGACGGAAGGAGGGAGCCACAGCGUCCAAGGCUGAACAGGACACAAGGACGAUGAGGGGCCAGAAAAGGCCCCUUGCUCUGGCAACCAGGAGAUCCUGGGUCACUCUGAAGGGAGUGGCCAGACUGUAAGGGGUGAAGACAGGACUUGGAGGUAUCCACAAAAGGGAGAAGGGGGUUAAGAGCGGAGCUCUUGCUUAAGCACAGGGAAUGGAAGAAUCAAGGAAGGGUUUUCUGCAGAGGGGGCUGGAGUGGGCAUGUUUGUUGGCUGUGUGAAAUGAGCCAGGAUUUUCAGGGAAAGCGUGAAAAUAAUGAGUGGGAAUGACAGAGGGGAAUAAUCGGCUGGAGACAGGAAGGAAGGAGAGCCCCUUGAGCACAGAGGAGGCAAGGAAUCAUGGCCUUGUGAGACGGGAGUGGUGGAGAAGGCAGCAGAAGGCUCUGGGGUGAGUGAGGUGACAUGAGGAGAAGGAGGCACUCGUGGCUGAAUGGACUCAAAUAUGAGAUGAGGGAAGGGGGUCAUGGAAGGUUGGGGGAGGGAUGACAAAGUCUGAAAGAGGAACUCUAGGGAAUGGGAGAGGGAGCUGACCCAGUACAGAGACCACUGAGGUUGUGGAACAUCAGAAUAGUGACGCCAUUUCCUCCAUCUACCUCCAGCAGCACAUGUGGAGGGGAUGGUAGGAGUGGUACAAGGCUGAAAUUCAGCUGGCACAAUGGAUGAUAUAAGGGGGAGAGUUCAAUUAAGACCUGACGGGUCAAGGUACUGAAAGUCACAGUGCGGCUGAAAAGCAGGACUUAGUGAGGGAAAAGGAUUCCAGAAUUCUUUAACACAGAGGUGAUACAUUUUUGAGUGACGGCAAUAACAAAGGUACAAUCAUCCUUGUAUUAGGAUGAGGUGAAGGAGUGAUUCCAUGGGAAGCAAGUGUAUGGAAGAAGUGAGUGGUUCGAGUGUUUGAUGGAUAGUCAUAAUGUAUGGUGAAUUCAGUCCCUUAGUACAAGGGCAGGACUUGGAAAGGAGAAGAAAAUUGUGAGCCAGGUAUCGAACUCAGUAAAGGAAGGCAAGUGACAGAGAUUGAUAGACAACAGCUACUAGGAUUUUAAUUGGGUAGCAGAUAGGAACAAUAUGGACUUCCAUGGAGGAGAGUGAUGAAUGAGGAAAGUAGAAGGAAAAUCUAGCAGGAGCAAGAAGGAGUGAGGAGUAUUCCAACUCCCUCACCUUGACCAUUGAACAAAGAGGAAAUGAGGGAAAGUGCUGCCAGCCCUGGAAAGUGAACAGAGAGGCUGCUUGUUUGGGGUGGAGGAUCAAGGACAAGCAUGAAGGCAGGUGUCAGUAAAAGCUAGAAGAUAAAGGACAGGGAGAAGUAAAGAUUUAGGAUGAAUGAAAGUUAGUUAUCUAAGGAACAGGUAUUCCAUAAAACACAGUGAAAGGGAUAGAUAGCAUUUGGCUCAAACUUUGGGGUGAGAAAAUUGAAGAGGAUAUAGAUUUUAAAAAUCAGUAGAAUAGGGAAUAAGCUUUAUAUGAUAGCUUAUAAACUUUUAGAAUCAAUGGGGUUUUUUUUUCACAUGAAUGAUGACAUCAUAAGCCUUAUUAUUUACUCGUGUAAUUUAUUUUUUGAACUCAAGUGCUAUUUCAGCUAGUAUUUUACUAGAAACAUUACUGUUUCUAAAAACUAAAUCAAUGAGGAUAGAAUACUACAUUUCUAUGACAACUUAUGGGCCCUGGGUUACUUGAUUUCAUGAUUAACAUAGCAAAGACAAGGAAACUCUUUUGGAGGUAAUCUGUGAAGUUCAUGACUGAAGGCAUCAAUAUAUCCAAAAAAAAAAAAAAAAAAAAAAAUCGAAUGCUUCUUUCUCUUCCUGAGGCUCUAAAACUUUCCAUCCAGUCACAUAUUCAUAUACCAAUUCUUAACAGAUUACAAAUUCUCCUCAGCCAGUAUAAUAAUGUUGAUAAUAGCUGACAUUUACAUGUACUGUUAUAUACAUAUAACAUCCAUCUGGGGGCAGUGGCUGUAUAUGUACACCCUGGGAGGCAACAAUAAGGAAGUAGCUACUAGGACUCACCAAGAACUCCAAUUUGCUCUAUGAUAUAGUGAAACAUGCUUCCUUUAUACAACCUAAGAGAGGUGAAGUGCUAAAUCAAAAAACAUUUCAUAGGAACACAGGAUCUCAAUGAGAAUCAUUUUACAGGGGGAAACUGAUCCAAAGUAAGAAAAAAGCUUGCCCAGGAUCAAACAUAUUACAUAAGGAACAGAGACAAAGAAUCAUCCCCAGAUCUUUUGAUUUCAAAUCCAGUGCUCUAUGAAACACUAUUGCUCUACUGCUUUUUCAUAUAAAAGGUAAUAGUAUUUUAUUUAGACAGGAAUGACAGCAAACUAGUACCAAUUUUAGGACCAUAGGACUGGGACCAUAAAGAUCAGCUAGUUCAAUUGUCUCAUUUUACAGAUGAAGCAAAGGCUAAUGAGUUAAUUUCUGAGUUGGAAACAGAACCAAAGCUUCCCAACUCUCCCAGGGCUCCUCCUACUUUUAUUAAGAUUUUCCAGGAAAGUCCUACCUCAAAAACCCUUCUCCCUGUGUUUUUCAAAUGGAGGUUAUUUGGGCAAAUAAGCUCUUCUUCUGAGAUGCCAGUAUUUUCUGGAAAGGGUAAGUUUUCUUAAACAUGUCUAUGUCAAAUGCAAGUACAACUUACUGUAUCUUUGGGAAGGGAAACAGUCAAUACAUACGCCAAGCUCUAAGCUGAGAUACCAACAUAAUAACAAGCAAAUGAUGAUCUCCAAAAGCUUUCAUGUGCACAUAUAAAUAAAUAUAGAAACAAAGUAUGGAGAGAGGAGAACAGCAGAAGAGGUAGGAGGAGAACGUAGAAUGUGGCCCUGGAGCUGAUCCUGAAGAGGGGAGGGAGUAUUUUAAGAGGACCUAGGGGAUUCUAGGUCAGGAGUAAUGGGAGGGCUGGGGGUAUUCUGUACAAAGCAGAGAGAGACCAGGGAUGGAAUGCUGGCAUUUAGAGCAGCAAGCAGGCCAAGUGGCUGGACCCCAGCAUGACGAGAUCAGGAAACGUAUACUAUAAUCUAAAGGAAUAAAUUGUUAAAAGGGGAAAGGAAGAGAAGCAGCAGAUAAGUCAGCACAGCUCAGCCUCUGGCUCAGAGUGUCCCUGUCCCCAAGUGCUCCUCCUCUUUUCCUCCACUCUUUAAAAACAACAGCUUUUUUGGACUAUUCAACCUUUGUACCCUUUAGAACCCAUUCCUUUCACAAAUUCAGAGAAUCUCAGAGCUUGAUGGGAAUCAAAUUCAGUACAUAACUGAGCAAGCCUCUCUCGACAACAUCCUUGACAAUCAGUCCAGCAAUGGCGCCUACACCACUUCCUAAAGGCUGUGCCAGUCUACUUUCAUUCAGGUUUUUUUUCCUUAAGAAGAUCUAAAAUCUACUUGUCUCAACUUUCCUCCUAAUUUAACCCUCUGAAGCAACAGGAGAUUAUUAAAUUCUUUCCCAUCAGGAACUUGAAGCCAGUGACUACGUAAAACUCCCACACACAUACAUACAUAUCUGUGGGUCGUCCAUCUCCCCUCCCCUCUCCCUCUCUCCCUUCCUCCAAUACAUUCUCUUCAAGACAAACAUCUCUUCUGUCCUGCCCUUCUAUGGCCUGGUUUCUGAUUUCACAAUCAUGGUUCACCCUCUUCUGGUGAACUGAGAAAGAUGCUAUACUAAAGGCCAUUUCUGCCCAAGUUCUGGGUCUAAGAUCCCAUCCAUUUUUUGAAGGAGCACAUGACACUGCUGACUCACUGAUAUCCCCAAGCCAUCCUGGAAGUUUCUACAGACAACUUUCUGAGCCCCAGAGCAGAGUUCUCAGGUCAAAUUCUACAAUCAAACUCUACAAAGGGGUGGGGGUGGGGGUGGGGGGCGGCUAACAAAGAUAAAACUCUAGUGAUUAAUGCCAUCCAACAACAGAUAGGCUGCCAUCUCUGGUGAUUUUCAAGGGAGGCUGAAUAAACCCUGGCUAGAGAGCAAAGGAUUCAUGUUUUAGGGUUGCACUAGAUAUUUUCAAGUUCCUAUCCAAGCCCAAGAUGCUGAUUCAUUCCAGAUCUUCUCUUCUUCCCAAAAGUCCUAUUGUCACUCUCCUCAUCUCCUCCUGAUGAUAGAAGAAAACAGCCAUUUUCAUUUGUUUCAGGAAAACUUUAACAACUCUAGUUAUAGGAUUCAAAGGACAGAAUUAGAAAGAACCUUGGAGAAUUUAGAACACAAUUCUUUCAUUUCACAGAGAAGGAAGCUCAUUCCCAGGAAAGUUUGUUUGCCCAAGGUCACAAUAUGGAUAUACCAGAAGCAGAAAUGAAACCUUGGUCUUUCUUCCAAAAACACUCCCACUACCCUUUUCUAUUAUACUGAAUGCGACAGCUUGCAGUUUUAAAUCAAAUCAUUUGGAUCACUGAGGAGCCCCAUCACAUGCAUAUCCUAAUCCAGGCUCACAAGGGAAGUGUUGGCUAUGGCCACUGUUAGCACCAAAACCUGGGGGUAGAGGGAUGAUAAGAUGUUUCUGUACACGAUAUGACUGUUUUAUAGUCACUAAGGCCUUUCCAGAAGGGAGGCCAUCCUCACUAGUCCUUCUGCCUGCCACCCCAAGGCCAACAGCUU